AUUGCGUUUAAGCUUUUUCCUGAUGCAACAAAAUCUGGUUUCCUUGAUGGGAUCAUUGCUGAGUGAAGUGCUUCAGUCUGAAGGAGGAAUCGUCAUUUUGGCCUAGAGCAAGAAAGCUCCAUUCUUAUAAACACAUGUAUAGAAGAAACUGUGAGUGGAUGGAUAGGCAGAUUUCACCAUCAGUUUGGAAACUGUUGGGAAAUGAUGGAUGGAUACUCUUCAUCAAAGGUGCUGAUAGCUGUUCCUUUAUGUGGCAGCCGACAGUCAGUUAUCA